AGACCACCUGGGAAGAAAAGGUUAGUGCUGGCGAGGAGAGAGGGGGUGAGCAGAGAAUUCACUCCAAGGCCCAGGCCCGACUGAGAGUCCCUUCCAGGGGCAGUCCCAGGUCCAGCUCGGAGGGGGCAAGGGAGGGAACCAGGUGCUAGGAUAAAGCCCCAGCCCACCCCAGCCAACCCCCCACCUCCCCUGCCCCGGACCCCGAUUUACCUGUGACCAUCCCCGGCUCGGGAGGAGGGACCAAGGCAGCGCUGGUGUCAGAAAGGUGGGGGGCCCCGCCCCACCCCCCCAUUCCCUGAAAAGAGGAAAACCUCGACUGCAUCUCGUUGGCACCGCUGGCCUGCCCACCCUUGCCCCUCACAGCCCAGCACCACCUGUUCCUAGCCUACUCUACUGAUCCGGCAGGUCAGUGUGGCCAACUCCCUCCUUGUCCCUGAGUACUGUGGGCCAGCCCCUUCCCUCAGGAGGGCUGGUACCUCCCCCUCACUUCAUGACAGAACCCACAGGCAGGCCAGGGCUGUAGGGUGUUAUAUGUGGGUCUAUUGUGAAUUCUCUGCUCCUGCUUGGCCCGUCACCAAAGCAGCUAGCCCCAGGGGCACAGGGAGGGCUGGGAGGACUUGGCACCAGCAUGGUGGGCAGCCUCAGUUGUGAGGGACACCCGGGUAGGAGCCAAGUCUAGUGCCUACUUCCAGCCUAGCUCAUCAGUGAGGCUGGUUGGGGAUAUGUGCAACCUGCAGUUCUCCCUUCACAACACUGGGGCGGUUUGGCACCAGGGCACAAGACAGCCAGUAGUAACACAGCCCCUUUAGCCAAAGUUAAGCCUGGGUUCUAAGCCCCGGCAUUCCUGUCAGUUUAUCUGUACCCUCUGACCAGACUACCUGGCCCCACCCUUUCUUCCUGUUUCCCCAGAUCUUUCCUUGAUCUCAUAGAACCCAGGCCUGGGGUGUGUGUGCGUGAAGAGGGCCUGAGCCAGUCAGAGGGUACCAGUGGAGAAAGGCACAGUUAGAGGUCAUUUCAAGGUGGGGGGAAAGACGAGGAAGGGUCUGCCAGGGGCCUUGGGCAGCCAGGACCCCUCCUCAGCACCCAGCUCCCAAACACCUCUUCCCUCCCCCAGCCCAGCCCGGAGAGGAGAUCCAGUGCCGUAGUUCCAAGCCUGCAAGAAGAGUGGCCAGUGCAGGGCUGACUCAGGAGAGCAAGGGAGGGAUGGUGCCCAGCCUCUGAGAUGGGCAAGCUCUGGGCCUUGGAAUCGCCAAACCAGAAGAACUUAAGCCACCAGGAGCCAGAGAGAGAGGAGAAAUCUGGUCCCCCAAAGGAAAAAAGUUUCUCUCCAUCCCACCGCCCUCUGCCAGAAACACUUUGCAAGAGGUAUAAGGGGAAAGGAGAGAGAAGAGAGAGAGAGGUGGGGAGAGGAAGAAGAAGGGAAGGAAGAGACAGAGCGAGGAGGAGAGGAAGAGAGACCUCUACCGGUGCCUGUGGAGGCUGGGGAGUCAGUCCCUCCCUCCCCACCCGCCUGGAAGCUUACACAUUU